GCCAAGGACCUGGUUCAAUUCAAAUGGGUUCUCCUGCCCCCUCCAUUUCUCUGGAACAAGACUCCCCUUCUGACCUCGGUGUUUUCCCUUAUCUGCAGAGUCCUGUGUGGCUUCUGUUCAACAGAGAAUCCCUUGGAUAGAGUCCCACGGCUGGACUCCUCUCAUUCUGGGAUUUGGAAUGUGGGCUCUGCUUGCCACAACAUGCCUGAGAGACAAAGCCUUCUGAAUUCUUAA
rnacentral:lncRNA from 1 species